UACACAGAAACACACACACUUAAAUGUAUUCAUAGACUUAGAAAGACACAGAAUAACUUGAGAGAAAGAGAAAGAGAGACGCCAUACUGAAACAUAGAAGAGAAAUAUAAUUUAAAGGCGCAUGAAUAUUUACAAGAAAUAAAUUGAACGUUGGUGGAUACAUGACUCAUAAUAAUUCUAAGAAUUCACUUGACCUACUGUGAUGAAUAAAGAUCGGAGAUUACAGCCAAAUCAUCUUGUGUUGGAUAACACAUAAUGAUCUGAAAAAAGAACUGUUAAUACAUGUCCUGAAGCAUAAUCGUUUACGAGAUUCAAAUCCUUCCAGUUCCUACAGUGUUAUGUGACUUUGUGAAAUGUUGGUCCAAUUCAAAUGAGGACAGUAAUUUUAAAUUGACGAAAGAAAAAAGUGGUGAAGAAAGCAAACAUCAAAAACAUUCCCAAGAGAAAAGAUAUGAAACAUGACGAAAAUACCGAAAAUAUAAUUAACUGAUAAGCCAUUGCGAAAUAACAUUAACUACGCAGUUAUGUAUUUAAAGUGUUGUAUGGCGACACAUAGCCAUGUAAGUCUUUAAAAGUAACGAUUAAAUUAUGUAGAAUGGGGGUUGGUAAAUGGUGGACUUAACUGGAUUUUCAAAUUGAUAUGGCUAUUAAUUUGGUGAUCUUUAGUCAUCUUUAACGGAUGAUUGAUGGCUGUACUAUGAAGCUGUCAUCUCAUAAGCAAGCAACACAUUCAUUUCCAUUAAAAUUCUUUUCCUCAGCGCUAACCUUAUGAAGACGUCUACAAACUAUGGGGUGAGAAGUUCAGCUGUUAUAGGUUCUACUAUCAUACUUGAUACAUGAGAAAUCUAUUUCUAUAUGAUAUCUCACGGCAACGACUACAUCUAUCACACCCACCAUCACCACCUCCACCACUGCUGUGUGACGACUCUUUACCAAAGACAGCCAUUACCGCCACUCAUGUCUUAUGUUACUACUAAAUAUAUCGGUUUCUAGUUUCCAGUUUUAAUGCGAUGGGAGAUUUGUGAAAUCAGACAGUAGCAACACACACUUUUUAAAAUUAUUUUAGGCAGAAGAAAUACAGAGAAGGUAAUUAUUAUUUUAAUGAAGAUAGGUCAGUUCACUUGUGACUAUUUUCAUUAAAUCAUUAUAUAAAAUCAUAGCGAAAAGAUGUUCAGUCGGUGCUGUUAAACCCCUUCGUUCCUAAUAGUCUCCCGGUGCAAACUAUAGCUGGGAUGGAAGGUGCACUGUAAUAAAAAGAGAUUCAUUACCUUCCCACUCAUAGUUACACUCGUUUUGUUUAGUCGAUACAAUAAUAUAUGUGUAGAAUGUAGCGUGUGUAUUUAAAGGACGCUCAACAGAUUUUUACAGUGCGUGUGGCAUUGUGUUUUCUUAAGUAUCAACAGGGGUAGCAAUAGGUAAGAAUGGCACCACUUUAUUUAGUUUUCUAUUAGAGUUCGUUACAUUUCUACGUAACCUUACCGUUCAUGAUCCCCUUACAUUCGCACAUAUGUAUGUCACGAAAUUCUCCGACUUCCGUUGUUAGCACCAUUUUAUGUUAACGUAGCUUUCAGUGACACAGGAUUAUAGCAGUCUAUAAUCUGGUUAUUAGGAUUUCUCUUACCAUAGUCUACAAUGUGGGUUUCUUUGUGUAUUACAAUUGUUGGUCGCUGAUUCAAGAAGUUGAACAACAACAGAGAGACGUCCGUUAUCGUCGCAUUGUUGGUGAAUCUGAUAUUAUUAGGAGUAUGUUAAUACUGCCGCCGGUGAAUGAAGCCCAUAUGGUUUGAAAAUGAUAGAAAAAAAAUAUUCUCUCUAAAAGAAUCUUCGAUAACAUUAAAUUGACAGCAUACAUAUCGAUGUUGCAUAUUAUGUUAUCGAGGUAGUUGUAUUGAAUCACCAAUCAAUACCGAAAAACUGAUAACUCCUUAGCAUAAUGUCGUGGCUCUACGUCUUUACGACGACGGGGAUUCCAGUUGAUCCGAUCAACGGAACAGUCUAUUCGUGAAAUUAACUUUCAAGCACUCCACAGAUACGCGUACCGUUGACGCAGUUCUCGGGUGAGAUACGACGCUGAUAUCAUAAUAUAUGUCACUUUAUUAAUAAUGCAAAUUACUAUACUUCAAAUUGUUUUGUUUCGUUUUUUACAGGUUUUUUGUUCUCACCUUUCUUCCUUUCUUUAUUCUCGUGCGUUAAGAGUUAUCUUAUUGCGCUCCUUCCAAAUAUUCCUAUUCUUUAAAAUCUCAGAGAACAAGUCUAUUUUUCUUCUACAGCGCAAAAUGCCUAUUUACAUGUCAUUUGUUCCACAAACAAUCCUGAAACGUAUUUCUCUAAUCAUGUUUAAUUGUCCAAUGGCGGAUAUCACCAUUAAUUGUUCUCAUAUCAUGUGUUAUCACAAAAGUAUAGAAUAUUGAUAUUCUCGUUAUCAUGGUAUGUAAAAUGCGCAUGAUCCCUUUGUCUUACUUCGAAUUCGUGAAGUUUGUCACUUUUCAGAAUAUAUCUCUGAAGUCUUCUAUCGGUAUAUUCGUGUGGAUUGUACUAGGUAUAGAUGUGCUUGGCACAUCCUUUCUAAAAGACCUCAUAUCCUUCCUCAAACGAUGGACUUUGCAAUUUGUACGAUUGUCUAUUAACUAGAGCAAAGCAUGUCACGAAAAUAUAAUU